rnacentral:rRNA from 1 species
UAAGCGUUGAAAAGCUUCCGGAUGAACUGAGGGUGGGGGUGAAAGGCUAAUCAAACUUGGAGAUAGCUCGUACUCCCCGAAAUGCAUUUAGGUGCAGCCUUGUGAGUUACUAAUGUGAGGUAGAGCGACUGAUAAGAUGCGAGGGCUUCACCGCCUAUCAAGUCUUGAUAAACUCCGAAUGCGCAUUAGUUCUAUCACAGGAGUGAGGGCAUGGGUGCUAAGGUCCAUGUCCUAAAGGAGAAGAAUCCAGACCAUCAGCUAAGGUCCCCAAAUAAACACUAAGUUGAACUAACGAAGUCAGAUUGCUAAGACAGCUAGGAUGUUGGCUUGGAAGCAGCCAUUCAUUUAAAGAGUGCGUAACAGCUCACUAGUCGAGGAGUUUGGCGUGGAUAAUAAUCGGGCAUUAAGUGUUUUACCGAAGCUAUGGGAUCAGUAAUGAUCGGUAGGGGAGCAUUCCACUCUGCGUCGAAGGUGAAGCGUGAGCUUUGCUGGAGCGUGUGGAAAAGCAAAUGUAGGUAUAAGUAACGAUAAAGGGGGUGAGAAACCCCCUCGCCGAAAGACUAAGGUUUCCUGAUCAACGCUAAUCGGAUCAGGGUUAGUCGGGUCCUAAGGCUCAGCCGAACGGUGAGGCCGAUGGCAGAACAGGUUAAUAUUCCUGUACUACCUUAAGGAGUGACGUGGAGACGGAGGCGUGACAGCGCCGCGGACUGACGGAAUAGUCCGUUGAAGGGUGUAGAUGUUGAUUAUCCCAGGCAAAUCCGGGAUAAGAGUCGAACCUGAUAGUAUGGAGCGUUCUUCGGAACAAUCCAAUAGUGCGUGUAAUCAUACUCCCAAGAAAAUCCGCUAAACUUAAUCCUUGAGGUACCCGUACCGCAAACGGACACACGUAGUCGGGUUGAAUAUACUAAGGCGCUUGAGUGAUUCACGGUUAAGGAACUAGGCAAAUUGACCCUGUAACUUCGGGAUAAAGGGUCCCAACGAGAGUUGGGCGCAGAGAAUAGGUCCAGGCAACUGUUUAACAAAAACACAGGGCUGUGCCAAAUUGAAAGAUUACGUAUACAGCCUGACACCUGCCCGGUGCUGGAAGGUUAAGAGGAGAUGUCAUCGCAAGAGAAGCAUUGAAUUGAAGCCCCAGUAAACGGCGGCCGUAACUAUAACGGUCCUAAGGUAGCGAAAUUCCUUGUCGGGUAAGUUCCGACCUGCACGAAUGGUGUAAUGAUCUGGACACUGUCUCAACCGUGAGCUCAGUGAAAUUGUAGUAUCGGUGAAGAUGCCGAUUACCCGCGAUGGGACGAAAAGACCCCGUGAACCUUUACUAUAGCUUAACAUUGAAUUUGGGUAAUUGAUGUGUAGGAUAGGCCGGAGACUUUGAAGCAGGUACGCCAGUAUUUGUGGAGUCGCUGUUGAAAUACGGCCCUUUGAUUAUUUGAGUUCUAACUCGUAGUUGCGAGGACACUGUUUGGUGGGUAGUUUGACUGGGGUGGUCGCCUCCAAAAUAGUAACGGAGGCUUCUAAAGGUGCCCUCAGGACGAUUGGUAACCGUCCGUAGAGUGUAAUGGCAUAAGGGCGCUUGACUGGGAGACUAACAAGUCGAUCAGGUAGGAAACUAGAGCAUAGUGAUCCGGUGUUUCCGUAUGGAAGGGACAUCGCUCAAAGGAUAAAAGGUACUCCGGGGAUAACAGGCUGAUCCCUCCCAAGAGCUCAUAUCGACGGAGGGGUUUGGCACCUCGAUGUCGGCUCGUCACAUCCUGGGGCUGGAGAAGGUCCCAAGGGUUGGGCUGUUCGCCCAUUAAAGUGGCACGCGAGCUGGGUUCAGAACGUCGUGAGACAGUUCGGUCUCUAUCUAUCGUGGGCGUAUGAAAUUUGCGUGGCUCUGACACUAGUACGAGAGGACCGUGUUGGACUGACCGCUGGUUUACCAGUUGUGCCGCCAGGUGCAUUGCUGGGUAUCUAAGUCGGGAUUGGAUAAGUGCUGAAAGCAUCUAAGUACGAAGCCAGCCACAAGAUUAGAUUUCUUAGGGUCGUUAAAGACGAUGACGUUGAUAGGAUGCAGGUGUAAAGGUGGUAACAUCAAAGCCGAGCAUUACUAAAUUGCCCGUUCACUUUCUUUUG